AUUGAACGCUGGCGGCAUGCCUUACACAUGCAAGUCGAACGGCAGCGCGGACUUCGGUCUGGCGGCAAGUGGCGAACGGGUGAGUAAUACAUCGGAACGUACCCUGUUGUGGGGGAUAACUAGUCGAAAGAUUAGCUAAUACCGCAUACGACCUGAGGGUGAAAGUGGGGGACCGCAAGGCCCCACGCAGCAGGAGCGGCCGAUGUCUGAGUAGCUAGUUGGUGGGGUAAAGGCCCACCAAGGCGACGAUCAGUAGCUGGUCUGAGAGGACGAUCAGCCACACUGGGACUGAGACACGGCCCAGACUCCUACGGGAGGCAGCAGUGGGGAAUUUUGGACAAUGGGGGCAACCCUGAUCCAGCAAUGCCGCGUGUGUGAAGAAGGCCUUCGGGUUGUAAAGCACUUUUGUCCGGAAAGAAAUCGCGCUGGUUAAUACCUGGCGUGGAUGACGGUACCGGAAGAAUAAGCACCGGCUAACUACGUGCCAGCAGCCGCAGUAA
rnacentral:rRNA from 1 species